UUUUCAUUGUUAUCAUUGUUAUCGUUCUUAGACUCAUUGCCUUCUCCGUCUUCCCUAUUCUUUCGCUGAAAACGCAAUUGCUUCUUCUCUCAACUUUUAAUCUUCCAUAUCAUUCAACGUAUCCUUCAUAAUUUCACCACUAAAUGCUAUUUUCAUUUUACCCAAUAACGAUGACCACCUCUUCGUUUCCUGUAUGUCUAACCUAUAGGUUGGAGAGGCUUGAGAGUACGAUGAAUUUUCGUGACCACUCCGAGUAAAUCUUUAUCAAGUGUAGUAAGAUUCUUCGAAGAUGCCUGCUUCUGACGCUGUUGUUGCGCCUUUGACAGUUCGACGCUCUCCGCCAAGGUUGUUCCUCAUGGCAUCUAGAGAAUCUGAUAUGGUAGGAUUUGUUGUGGGUUUGAUGGUUUAUCCUUGACUAAUACGGUGCUAGAAGAGAAGAUUAGGUCUCUUUCUCUCUUUCUUUAUGUCUCUUUGAUGUAUUUGAUGGUAUAUGCUCUCUUGAUUAGUGUAUUUGAAGGUGCUGAAUCAACUUUGGUUAUGGCAUAUGGUAUGUGUGCAAGUACUAUUGUGAUGUUAGCAAUGGUUCCAAAAGGUGGACAUAUUGUGUAAACUACAGACUGUGAGACAAGGAUGUUCAUUGAGACGUUUCUUUCCAAAAUGAGAGUCACUGUGACUCUGAAUGGCUCUACUGAUAUCACUGAGCUUCAAGCUGUAGUCAAUAACCAUGAGGUCAUAUAGUAGAACACAUAGUUUCUAUGUUCUUUACAGAGUCCCCAACAAAUUCUUUUCUUCGAUGUGUGGACAUCAAGUUAGUUUCAGAAAUAUACAAGAAAGGAACUCUUGGAGGCCACAAUGAAAAUUUCAACUUCAAAGAGACACCAAGUGUUGAAGUGCAAGGCGGGGAAGCAUCCACUUCCGCUUCUGCCAGCUACACGGCAACAGCUGCGGUGAAAGAAGGUGGACACAACCAUCAGCGUGAGUGAGAAUCUGAAAACAACAAAAACGUCAACCGAACUCUGCUUCCGUCUCUUUAGCAAUUUUAAUAUUACUCUGCAUUUCCUCUUUCGCGUAUUGGAAUUUUUCCACUUGCUGUAGCUUAAAAAAGAAAAAAAAUUCGGCAGUGUACCUCUUCGGAGGAUAACACAUUCUCAAUUUUGAUAGUUUUAAAAGGUUGACGUUAUA